rnacentral:rRNA from 1 species
UGCGUAGGCGGCGAGGCAAGUUGGGUGUGAAAGCCCUCGGCUCAACCGAGGAAUUGCGCCCAAAACUGCCCUGCUCGAGGGAGACAGAGGUGAGCGGAACUUGCGGUGGAGCGGUGAAAUGCGUUGAUAUCGCAAGGAACACCAGUGGCGAAAGCGGCUCACUGGGUCUCUUCUGACGCUGAGGCACGAAAGCUAGGGGAGCGAAGA